rnacentral:rRNA from 1 species
GAUGAACGCUGGCGGCGUGCCUAAUACAUGCAAGUCGAGCGAACGGACGAGAAGCUUGCUUCUCGGAUGUUAGCGGCGGACGGGUGAGUAACACGUGUAUAACCUACCUAUAAGAGUGGUAUAACUUCGGGAAACCGGAGCUAAUACCGGAUAAUAUUUUGAACCACAUGGUUCGAUAGUGAGAUACGGUCUUUCGGGCACGUAUAGAUGGAUCCGCGCUGCAUGAGCUAGUUGUUAAGGUAACGGCUUACCAAGGCAACGAUGCAUAGCCGACCUGAGAGGGUGAUCGGCGACACUGGAACUGAGACACGGUCCAGACUACUACGGGAGGCAGCAGUAGGGAAUCUUACGCAAUGGGCGAAAGUAUGACGGAGUAAGGCCGAGUGAGUGAUGACGGUCUUGGGAGCGUAAAAAUCUGUUAUUAGGGAAGAACCUAUGUGUAAGUAAAUGUGCACAUCUUGACGGUAACUAAUAAGAAAGCCACGGCUAACUACGUG